rnacentral:misc_RNA from 1 species
GCCGCCGGCUCUGCACCCAUUUGGAAAGGGGCGCAGAGGGUCUCCUGUCGUGGGUGGGUGUGCAAGGGGAGGGAGGAGGGUCAUCGUCAUCCCCUGCAGUGUUCCCACCUCUCUCCUCUCGCACCACGGCAGACGUGUCCUCUUUUGUUUUCCAUCAGCUUUGUUGUGUCUGUGCACCCGCGAUCGCUCUCACUUCGCGUUUUCUGCGGAGUGCGUGGCCUAGACGCCAUGCCGCAACCAUAGGGAACGCGUGUGGAGGCCAUCCUUUGGGAAGACGAAACAGCCACAUGGUACUCCUUCAGCGCUCCCGCGCGCAGGUUGCUGCUGAGGAGGAAGCACGUAGGCGCUACCGCUAAGAAGUCCUGACAGCAGACGCACACAAAUGCAGCGUCAGGGCAUUCGCGCGGCACUGCGUUAACGUGUUGUUUUACCACCGCGGCGAACAUCUAUCUCAGCACAUGGUGCGUAGCGCGGAGUGGUCUCGGGUGAUGCUGGCCGCGAGAUUGGCUGAUGUCCGGCAGGCUGUGAUUGAAAGAGGUGCUGUAGAAGCCAGGCAGCGGCCCUUGACCCUACCCGCGCGGACUCUGCCCCAUUUGCGCACGACAAACGGUGAAGGGCGGCGUCACGCAGAUGCCCUGCGGGCAGCGAGGUGUGAAGAACUCUUGUCAAAGAAGUCGGAGUUUCUGUCGCGCUCUAUGUAGGCCAUGCGCCAUCCUGCCCGAUCAAACGCUUCCCCCCCUCCUCACAACGGCAAAGGCAGCGAAGAAGAGCGAGCGGCCGUUUCGAUGGCUCUCCGCUGAGGGUGGGUGAGGAUGAGGAACCAACGCAGGGUCUGCGUGAUUCUGUGAUGGGCAGCGGCGGUCUAUCCAAGCUGCACUACCCUGCCGCUCCUUUGCGCCUUGUUGGACGUUAUGCCCCGCAUCCCUUCUCUCCUUCUCAUUUUCCUCUCAGAGACUAACCGAUUCUUCACCUACCAGCAGCGCGCGUAUUUCGCUCGGUAUACAUGUGUGUGUGUGCGUGUGCUUUGCGGCGGCGCUGCCUGUGUGAUCUACUCCCGCUUCCUGUCCCAUUCCGCUGAAGAAGAGCGUAGCUUCGCUCUUGAAUGAGGCCAUCAUCGCUGUGCUAUAUCUUUCGCCAUUCCGCCAUGGUUCGGACGUGCUCAGGUCGUCUUAUGCGGGGACCGCACAUGGACCUUGGCAUGAAGCAGGCGCAAAAAAAAACAAUAACAGAUCCCAAGAAUCCCUUGAAAGUGAUGCGCUCACUGUCUGCGUCCGCAUGUCGAGCGCAGCACAACACGGUGGCCGAAGCAAUACAGCCACU